CUCAGGAGGUCAUAUGGGUAGAACAGUACAGCACAGCUACAUUUCUUCAAUAUAUUGUCUUCAACAAAAGUCUGAGUAAAGGGUCACAACAUGUUCUGCAUCCUCAGACACACAGUUUACAUUACUCAUAUGGCCAGAGACCACCAAAGUAGUGACGUUCACUUCCUGUAUGGAAACCAUUUCGUGUGUGUGUGGGAGGUCUAGCCAGGUUUAGUCUUGAAACUUCACAUUCAUGUCUGACGCAGAAAUGAGUAAAUUGAGAUUAAAAUAUUCUUAUAUAUAAUUUACUCCUUUUUGUUGUCUUAGUAACAUUAAAGCUGUAGUUUAGAGUUGAAGAUUUCAGAAAGAGACAAAACCACAGAUGCAGAUACUCACUACUGGUGGGAUGGAGGAUUUUUGUAAAUAUUUGGGCAUCAACAGGACCUUUUCUCUGAUAUGUUGCAUGUUCUGGAUUUUCUCACCAGCAGAAGGAAACACCAUCUCACAGGUGGUUGGCACCAAAGUGACCCUACCCUGCAAGUCAAACAGCUUGUUGGUUCAGCUGACAUGGAAAAUGGACAAGAAUACCCUGUUUACUUACAAGCCAAAGACACCUUUACACAACUAUUCAAUAGCUCUCAACCUGAGCAUAAGUAUGUCUAUGUCAGAGAGCCAAAUGUUCGCUCUGGUCAUAGAGAGAGUCCAGAAGUCUCAUACAGCAAACUACACCUGUGAAAUCACCACGUCCAAUGGAGUUGAAAAUCAGAGGUGGGAGCUGAUAAUAACAGAACGUGAAGAAGCUGGAAAUAUGGACAAGCUAGUGAUUGCUGUGGCAACUGUUGUUCCUUGUGUGUGUUGCCUGACCUUUGCAUUAGCUUUCAUCAUUCUGCAAAGAGUCUGCAAAAAACGUGCUGAGGAUCAGGAGGAAGAAGAAGAUAUUUAUGAAAACUGCCUAGAAGGUCGACGACGUGGCUAUAAUCAGCCUCACCAUAACAAACCCAGGGCUCACUGACAUGACGCGCAGUCCAAAGAGAGAGAAGAAAAGGGAAAGGGAGUACUGGAAGUGGGCACAUGUGUGAAACAGCUAAUUUUAUAGAAACAACCAUCUUUUCUAAAAAAUAAACUUUAUAUAAAAAUUGUAAAACCUGUUUUUUUCCAUGCAAUUUUAAACUGAUUUCUCUAUAAAUAUACUGUAGAUAGCCUAUUUAUAGCCUAUUUACAUAUAUCCUUUAAAAAAGAUACUGCAUGGGUCCAUGAAACAGAGCAGCUGUAUGCCAUACAGGAAUAAAACAACUGCUCUAUGUUCAAUAAAGUUGAUGGUUAUACUGUCACAUAUGCUCAAGAUUAUGGCCAAAAAAAUAACCAUAUCCCACUGUGAAAAGGCUGCCUUUCUCCCUUUUCACUAGGCCCUGUUCCCAAAAUUAAUACUGUUUUGCGUCUGCUUAAUUCUUAAUUUCACUGUAAUGUUGUAGGUUAUUGUUUUAGUUUGUUACUUUAUUAUUUGACAUAGGCCUGUUCGGCAGGUUUUAUGGGUUCAUAGUGUUUUGCUAUGGUUCUGCCUGUGAUGUGGGGGGGUAGAUCAGCUGCUCACUAGCUUAAUCAGGGAGAGUGGAUGGGGGUUUAGGUUUAGGUCCUUUUUGUAGGGAGGGGCUAAAGUAAAGAACAAUUGGUAAGAUAGUUCUGCAGUAAAUGACAUGUUUAUAAUAUUUGGGGUGCCUAUUGUAGUGGGUGCACAUAUAUGUAUAAAUAGUAAUGUCAGCAGUAACUGAUCUAUCCAAUUGUAAUGAUGUUUUGAGAGACUUAAGUGUUAAUGUUGCUUGCUCAGGUUAGCUCACCCUAUCACCUGUGCAGGUGGUAGGGGGGGCUGAGUUAAAAGGGCAUCAGGAGAAGAAAGAAGGGUUGGCAGUUUGCUGGGAGGUUGCCGUUUUGUUUGUUUGCUAUUAUUUUGCCUCAGUUUAAUAUUGUUUCUGUAUUUUGGUUUGAGUAUGUUUUGGUGUUGGUUUAGUUAAUAAAUACAGGAAUUGAGCACUGGAAAAGCCUCCUCUUCAGUCUUCAAUCGUGACACCC
rnacentral:lncRNA from 1 species